CAGCCGCCACGGGAAUACGAAGGGUGCAAGCGUUAAUCGGAAUUACUGGGCGUAAAGCGUGCGUAGGCGGUUUGUUAAGUCUGCUGUGAAAUCCCCGGGCUCAACCUGGGAAUGGCAGUGGAUACUGGCAAGCUAGAGUGUGUCAGAGGAUGGUGGAAUUCCCGGUGUAGCGGUGAAAUGCGUAGAGAUCGGGAGGAACAUCAGUGGCGAAGGCGGCCAUCUGGGACAACACUGACGCUGAAGCACGAAAGCGUGGGGAGCAAACAGGAUUAGAUACCCCCGUAGUCCCUGUCUCUUAUAA
rnacentral:rRNA from 1 species